UCAUUGGUGAUUCAGUGGUAGAAUGCUCACCUUCCACGCAGGAGACCUGAGUUCAGUUUCCAGCCAAUGUA
rnacentral:tRNA from 1 species